rnacentral:rRNA from 1 species
AAUAUUUCACAAUGGGCGAAAGCCUGAUGCAGCAACGCCGCGAGCGUGAUGAAGGCCUUCGGGUAGUAAAGCACUAUGUUCACGGAUGAUAAUGACAGUACCUCACAAACCAGCCACGGCUAACUACGUGUCCGCAGCCGCGGUAAUACGUAGGUGGCUAGCGUUGUCCGGAAUUACUGGGCGUAAAGGAUGCGCAGGUGGAUACUUAAGUGGGAUGUGAAAUCCCCGGGCUCAACCCGGGAACUGCAUUCCAAACUGGGUAUCUAGAGUACAGGAGAGGAAAGCGGAAUUCCUAGUGUAGCGGUAAAAUGCGUAGAUAUUAGGAGGAACACCAGUGGCGAAGGCGGCUUUCUGGACUGUAACUGACACUGAGGCAUGAAAGCGUGGGUAGCAAACAGG